GUGCGUCACAAAGAUGGUCUUUCAAUCUGCGUGGGACCAGGCGUGAGAACGAAAGGAUGAUUUAGAAAAGGGGACAGACCACGAUUUCGCGCAAGCGCAAGAAAAGCGCUAGAGGCUCUUUGUCCUGCGAGUUGUUCAAAAGAAGCGACGCUGGUAAAUUGAGUUUGGCUGAGCGAGUGGGGCUGCGUGGAGGUGCGCACGCGCCUAAAAGAGAAGAUAAAAGGCGGGUUUUCCGUCGGGUGACUGGCGUCUCUGGCGUGUGGAUGGUUAACGGUGGUUGGAAUUGGACGCAACUUCCAGAGGACGGAGAGUGGAGGAGAACCAAUGAAACAGCUCUUUGAUUUCGUUCUUGGUAUUAUUUGGACUCAGCCUCGGUUGCUAUUGCUUACUGCGGUGAGAAGUGGUGAGGUGGCCUGCGGCGCUUGAAGUCUAUUUGGCCCGCCGUGAGGGAGCGCUCCUAGCGUUCUAUCUGCUGUCUCCACCGUUCCUGCUGUAGAUCUUCAUUGAAGGGUUUCUGUAAAAGCAAGACCCUAGAAGAUAAUCGUCACCCUCACUUACUCCUCUAACUAAACUUUUUCUAGUUGUAGAGCAGUGGUUCUCAACCUGUGGGUCGCAUAUUUUCGAUGGUCUUAGGAAUCGAGCCAUAAUUUUAUGGUUGGAGGUCACCACAACAUGAGGAACUGUAUUAAAGGGUCGUGGCAUUGAAGGUUGUAGAGUAUUUUCUUCCCCCAGAGCUUGCAUUACAAUCCCUGGAUACUUUAUACGGAACUUGUGUGCUUCGGCUCCUGAUAACUUAAUGUUUGUUCCUCAAAGACUGGUGAAGAAAGGAAAACGACAUUCCUCCACCCUACUACUGAUGGGCAGAAAACUUUCCUUAAUCUGUUUUAUUACAAUUUAUUGAGAAAUUGUGAUCCCUUCCAUCAUACAUUAGAAACAGAAUUACCAAGACCAAGAAAGUUUGGGUCUAAUAUACAAUGGAGCAUGGGAAAAUGGAUUAUUUCUGUGAACAAGUACAACAAAAAGAUGCGGGCCGCAGAUUUCAAAUUGGCCAGGAAUUUCUGGAUUAUUUGAAUGAUCCCAGCAUUUCUACUGAUCUUGAGCAGGAUCAGCAGCACCUUGAUAAAGUAAUCAAUGAAUUAACAGGAUGGGUUAACUCUAGUAAUUAUAAGGUAUCACUACUUGGAUUAGAACUCCUAGGUGCCUUUGGUGAAAGACUAUUAGGACGUUUCAGAACCUAUGUAGGAACUGGUAACGUAGUAUAGA